UACGGAGGGUGCGAGCGUUAUCCGGAUUCACUGGGUUUAAAGGGUGCGUAGGUGGGCAGGUAAGUCAGUGGUGAAAUCUCCGGGCUUAACCCGGAAACUGCCAUUGAUACUAUCAGUCUUGAAUACCGUGGAGGUAAGCGGAAUAUGUCAUGUAGCGGUGAAAUGCUUAGAUAUGACAUAGAAACACCAAUUGCGAAAGGCAGCUUACUACCCGAAUAUUGACACUGAGGCACGAAAGCGUGGGGGAUCAAAACAGG
rnacentral:rRNA from 1 species